rnacentral:lncRNA from 1 species
CUCACGUGUUGCAUAAUUAAUGGCACAAUAAAAAGGAGGCCGGCAGAAUUAACGAACAGCUCACGCAAGAUACAAGAAAGUCAGAGACGGAGCUCCUUUAUCAACAAAGAGGAAAAUGCGUACUUACGUGGUAGCCGCUCUUGUAGUUGCCGUUGUGGCAUGUCUGACACUCGGAGUGUCUGCUGGUGGCUACGGAUACGGACACAAAGGGAAAGGCGUGUACCAACAUUACAGACCCCCUCGUUACGCGUAUAGAUACAUUAGACAACCAUAUUUAUUGAAUGGGAACUCCGGGUUCAGCCAGCGAUAUAUAUCUGGUUACAACAGUGGUGGUUUAUAUGGUUACAGAGGUGGCUUCUACAAUCGAUCGGGUGGAGGCUUAAGUUUAAUCUGGUGGCUUCUUAUCGCAGUUGUCUUAUUUGCCAUUCUUGCUGACAAAUAAGCAAACGAAAGUGUUGUAUUACAGGGAUAAACUAUGUUUACCCUACGGCUGACACGGACUCCACACUUCUCUGUUCAUUUGGACCUGCUCUGAAUUUUCGCUCCUGUUUUCAAAUAAAGAAAAGUAUAUGCAUA